ACGUGAUUGAUUUCGGUUUGGUGUGCCUGUGCUCGUGGGGUCGAAUCAGCUGCGCUUCAUAUUUUUUUUACUGGGAGUGCAGCGGGCAGAACUUUGAGCAAUAUCGCUGGACUAAAAUAUACGUACAACACAAUAAAAAUCGAGGAGGAUGUCGGCGAAUAAAGUCAAGAAAGUGAAAAUGGCUACCAAAUCAUGUCCAGAAUGCGAUCAACAGAUUCCAGUAGCUUGCAAGUCUUGUCCUUGUGGAUAUGUGUUUAUAAGCCGAAAACUUCUAAAUGCCAAACUAACGGAGAGAUCACCGCCAACAAUAGACAAGCUAGAUGCAAAGAGGAGGAGGACCGAACGGAUCCGGCGAGAGAAAAUCAGCUCUGUUUCCACCAAUGACAUGGAGAACAGGAGGCGGUCCCGCACAAACAGCCAAUCGGAGCAGAUCCGUAGAGGAAGGGGCCGACCAAAAACAGUCACUCUGAAGAAGCAGGAAGAGGAGAAAGAAAAGCAGGAGAAGGAGGUGGACAUUUAUGCUAACCUCUCGGACGAGAAGGCGUUUGUGUUCUCCGUUGCCCUGGCUGAGAUCAACAGGAAGAUCUUGGGUCAGAGACUCAUCUUAUAACCGGGAUGUCAGGACUGGCCGCGGGAUUAAACUUUGGGACUAGGGAAACUGACGUGUCCCACCGAUGACCACAGUGGGCCUGGUGGGAAAGAAAAGAACCUUGACCUGGAAGUGCUUUUGAUGGAACCACUGUAGCUAAUUCCUGCUUCUGAUUGGCCCAGGCCCCGGCUGUGGCCAGAAUAUGCUGUGCGGCCAGACCAUGCCAGCUGCACCCUGGAUCUACAGAGAGAACCUCAGCUGUGUCAGCCGCACCAUGGAUCUACAGAGAGAACCUCAGCUGUGUCAGCCGCACCCUGGAUCUACAGAGAGAACCUCAGGUGUGUCAGCCCCACCCUGGAUCUACAGAGAGAACCUCAGCUGUGUCAGCCCCACCCUGGA